UUCUUUGCUCCAUUCCCUUGCUUAACUCGUCUCUAUAACAAUGUUUGGCUACUUCUAUUUCUUUCGGCCACAACGUAAGGAGGUAUGAUUGAUUUUCUUUGUGUUUGCGCCCGAGUAUAUAUGUGACCACUAACCACAUGGUCAUUACAUUUGUUAGGUUUCAUAUGCAAAGGCAUGUGUUCUUGAGGAUCCUUAAUGGGAUUCAACAAGUUGACGACUACUUCACGCAACGUGUUGAUGCCACUAGGUUGCCCAGGUUGGGUCCCUUACAAAAAAUAUGUGUUGUUGUCUGUAUCCUAGCGUAUGGUUUACCUUCGGACGUUGUUGAUGAUUACAUCAUAAUAGGAGAAUCCAUGGCUAGGGGAUGCGUCAUUAGGUUCUAUCACGUUGUCAUAAGUGCAUUCAGUGCAUGGUACAUUAGGACACCGAACGAACACGAUAUACGUCGCAUCCUGCAUAUAAAUGAUGUAAGGGGGUAUCUAGGCAUGAUGCAUUGCAUGCACUAGGAAUGGGAGAACUGUCCUACUGCAUGGCGGGGUAAGUUUAGCGGUACGAAUUUAAGGCCUACCUAGAUACUAGAAGAGGUGGCUAUCUACGACCUAAGGAUUUAGCACGCUUUCUUUGGCAUGUACAGUACAAACAAAGACAUCAACGUUCUGCAACGAUCUCCUAUAUUUGACCCCCUUCACAACGGAACAAUGCCUCUGGUUGAAUAUAAUGUUAACAGCCACGAGUACCGUAUAGGUUACUACUUAUCAGGUGGUAUUUAUCUCGACUAGCCUAUGUUUGUUAAAGCCAUCUUCCACCCCUUCGAGGAGAAGAAAGUUCAUUUCACUCAUAUGCAUGAAUAAUGUCAUAAGGAUGUCGAACACGCCUUCGGAGUGUUGCAAGCCUGAUGGGUAGUACUUCGCAGGCCAGUUUGCGAGUGGGACCGCCAAAGGCUAGGUGAAAUCAUGAAGGAUGUAUAAUUCUUCACAUGAUAAUAGAAGAUGAAGGAUGAAUCGCAACAAAUGUGGAUUUCGCCAAUGUAGGAACCAUUCCUUCUGUCUCUUAGUUCAGUUUGU
rnacentral:lncRNA from 1 species